rnacentral:lncRNA from 1 species
UUAUGAAGUAACAAAGUUAAGCAGAAAAGGCAAAACAAUCUCAGAACUAAAACACAAUGUUGUUUCAUGGCUUUCUCCAAAUGUAAGUAGCCUCAUUGUUAUUUUCCCAAUUUUAGCUGUACUUAUGUAUUAAAGACAAAUUUGUGACACUUCACUAUAAAUCCAAUAGGGUGAGAAAACCAUUAUUUUUAUUAUUGAAUUAUUUCUGGACUCACUGUGGUUGUCAUUGUUCAACCAUUCUUUUCAUCUCAGGUAAAUAUUUAAUAAAGAAUACUUCUGCAAUUCGUUUAAUUGUAAUUCCUCCCAGCAUAUUGUAUCUGUAGUUCUGUAUGUUUAAGAUAGCUUUUCCAUUGUCAUAAUCAUUCUGCAGUUUCUUGUUUAUCUUCUUUGUGACAUAGCCCUCUUGUGACCACAGGUUAAGGUAUCUUAGCUCUGGUAGAGUUACUUGGACUGGUAA